rnacentral:lncRNA from 1 species
GUCUUGGUACAAGACUCCAAACUUGAUUUCUUUCGAAUUGGUUGAGUUCUUCUUGCAUUGCUACUAUCCAUUGAUCGUCGCCUAAGGCUUCAUCGACUUUGGUUGGUUCUAUUUGAGAUACAAAAGCCAUGUUGAGACAAGCAUCCUUGAGAUUUAGUCGUGUUGCAACGCCUUGGCUAAUAUCACCAAUAACUUUAUCGAUCGGGUGAUCUCUAUGAGUUUUCCAUUCUUUUGGUAGAUCAUGAUGUUCUUCAAUGAUUGGUGAGCCAUCUCCUUGUGG